GCGGCUCUCACAUGUUACUUGAGUUUUACCCAGCAGGUGGGAAGUCCAGAAGGCUGACUCGGUCUCUAAAAUGCAGCAGAACCUGUGGCGACCACAGCCACCCAACAGCAAAAGAGGCAGCAGAGGCUGGGUGAGCACAGGACUGAGAAUUCAUGGAGAAAGUUCUUGAAUUUAAGGGAGAGGUGAGACCAUUUAAUUGGCCAAAAAGGCCCAACUCUAAGAGCCGACCUGCAAGAAGCCAGCCCGGCAGCUUCUCCCAUCACCACUCCCAGCUGCAGGUGGGCUGCCUGCUGUCCUUACCUCCCAGACAAGGGGGAUCAUGUCCUCCUUGGGGUCACCGUGGACCAGUGCGCACUUCUGUGGCCUGUUUUGCUCGCUGCACUUACCUACUGUGACACCACUGUUGCCGACACAGCCACCUCCGUGCGGGGGGUCCCUGGGGCAGACGCCCUGCUAUCCUCAUCUUAGGAUACCCAGUUCCCAACACAGUGCCUGCUGCAAAUUAUCAGUAAUAACAACCCUGAACUCUCCUCUCUACACCAUCGCAUGUCAGUGGAACUAUAAGCCUCAAGACCUGAGUUCAAGUUCGUCCUCUGCCACUUACUAAUGUGAUCUUGGCAAGUCACGUAUUCUCUCUGGGGCUCAUUCUCUGCAUCUGUAAAAUGGGGAUUAAAAACUCUGUGUCCCGCCUGAUUAAUUCUCUAUGACUUGGGAGUCUUCUGGCCAACCUCACUCUGAAAACGUCACCAGACCAAAGAUACAUGGAGCAGUUGGCCUCCUUUAUAGGACGCUGUCCCGCUGGGAGAUGGGAGAAAGAGGGGUACAGUGCCACCUUGGUGAGGUGGGACAGGAACCGGCUGGGCUGUCUGGCUGACUUACGUGCCGAAGCAGCUCUGCUGGAGUCCUGAGCAAUCUUCCCACUCCUUCCAACUCAAUUUGUCCGGCUGACGUCUAAGUUCUCUUUUAGCCCUAAAAGUCUCUGAAUCUAGAUCUUAGAAGCCAGUUCCCUCCACGACUGUCGCCUAUUCACUUUACCUCUGUAAAUGCCAUUUCCCCUUCUGCAAAAGCC
rnacentral:lncRNA from 1 species